GUCCUUUUGAAUUUUUAUUUAAGGUCUAGCCUGCCCACUGAAUUUAUAUUUUAAAUGGCCGCAGUAUUUUGACUGUGCAAAGGUAGCAUAAUCAUUAGUUUUUUAAUUGAAAGCUUGUAUGAAAGGUUGGACGAGGUAAAUUCUGUCUCUAUUUAAAUUAUAUUAGAAUUUAACUUUUAAGUUAAAAGGCUUAAAUAUUAUUAAAAGACGAGAAGACCCUAUAGAGCUUUAUAAUUUAUUAAAUAGAAUUAAUUUAGAAUUAUUUAUAUUUUAUUUAUUAAAUUAUUUUAUUGGGGUAAUAGAAAGAUUAAAUUAAUUCUUUUUUUUUAUAAACAUUGAUUUAUGAGUAUUAAUGAUCCAAUUUUAUUGAUUAUAAGAUUAAGUUACCUUAGGGAUAACAGCGUAAUUUUUUUAGAGAGUUCAUAUCGAUAAAAAAGGUUGCGACCUCGAUGUUGGAUUAAAGAUUAUUUUAGGUGUAGAAGCUUAAUAAUUUUGGUCUGUUCGACCAUUGAAUCUUUAC
rnacentral:rRNA from 1 species